rnacentral:sRNA from 1 species
GUGUGUGCAUGUGCAUAUGUGUGUGCGUGUUCGUGUAUCUAUGUGUAUGUUUCUCUGCUUAAAGUCUGUCCUAUCUGGAGAUAAAACGAUGAAUUGAGGCUCAAUAUUUAAAAGCCAUAUGAUAACUUGGCUGUGUAGUGUUUGGAAUCAAACUCCCUUGUAGCUGCUGCUCCUCCUCUGGGCGGUUGUAAAUGAUACACACAUCGAGAUGUGUGAUGGUGAGGCGGGGAGAAUAAUCCUCUCAGCCCAAUUUAGCAGGCAGCUUUGAUCUCACUGAACAAACCUUCACUUCAGCCAGGGACUCUGCCUGCCAUCGACACCAUGAGGGGCUUUGCUUGCGGCCGGGCUGCUUUGUGUGAGGAACAAACCCGGCAACCCCUCACUGGGAACGUGCUCCACUUCUCCUGCAUAACAGCAAAAGGAAAGGCUUGUUAGACGCCUAGGCCUGGCUCCAGCAGGUAGGACAUAGCAAUUGCUUGCCAAAAUGGGAGCCCACGGGACUCUUUGGAGGGAGGAAGGCCAGGAAGUGUAUGGAGCUGCUGUACAGAGGAACCCGCUGUGAUGCUCUUCUUAUGAUUUUCCUCGUUCAUUCGAGCCCGCCUUGGAUUUCUUCCCUUCUGUGAUUGAUUUGUUUGCCUGUCUUGAGACAGCAUCUCCCUCUAAAGCCCAGGCUGGCCUGGAACUCCUAAUCCUCUUGCCUCGGCCUCUCCGGUGCAGAGCGUGCAGAUGGGCAUCAUGACGUUCAUCUUCUUUUCAUUUGAUUGACUGUUUUCCUUCUCAUCGUCUUGCUGCUUAAUGAUCCCAGCCCCAGGCUUCCAAGGCAACUGGCCAAGAAGAUUAAGUUGGCGUUUGAAGUUGAGCGCUCUCUUCACUCAUGCCUCUCCCCUCUUCUCCUCUCACAUCCCACCACCUCAGAAUCGAGGCCACGCAGCACCAAUUUUUCAACCCACUCAAGCCUGUCGUUUCUAAAAUCCCAAGGCUUCUUGAGGUUUGACUCGGAGCCAGUCACCAAACAAGCAUUCUUUACAGAGGGCUGGGGGGGGGGGGAGAGAGAGAGAGAGAGAGAAAGAGAGAGAGAGAGAGAGAGAGAGAGAGGAGUCUUAGCUUGUGAGCCAGGCGGUUCCUCUUGUAGCCCUUCCCAUCCUGUUGGCCUGUCAAUAAUACAGUAACAACAAAGUACUAACAAGCACUUUGUGCUUGUGUUUCAAUAAAACUUUAUUUAUAAAGUUAUAAUAGGUGCAAUACACCUUGAAGGACAGAUAUAAUGAGUCUGUGUGUAUGUCAGCAGAAACCCAGCCAGCUUGCACCGAAGAAGAGGGAACAAGAGGAAUAGGGGAGUCAAAUUCCAAAAUUCUAUACACAGGAAACAAACUGGACCGUGGAACAAUCCAGGUGCAAACAGGAGUGAUUUUGGCGUUUAGUUUUUGUCAACUUGGCGCAAACUAGAGUCACCUGGGAAGGGGGAACCUCAAGUGAGGAAUUUUCUCCAUCAGCCUUGCCUGUAGACUUGUCUGUGGGAUAUGUCCUUGACUGGUUGUUAAUGUGGAAGGGGUGAGUGGUGCCUACCCUAGGCAGGUGAUCCUGGGUUGUAUAAGAAAGUUAUCUGAGCAAACCAUGGGGAACAAGCCAUGGAGAGCAAGCCAGUAAUCAGGACUCCACAGUUCCUGAUACACCCAUUUGAGUUCCUGCCCUGACUUCCCUCAAAGGUGGACGGUAAGCCAAAUAAUUUCUUUCCUCCUCAAGUUGCUUGUUGUCCAUGUUUUUAUGACAACAACUGAAAGUCAUGCUACCCUUCCUGAGGAAGGAAGGAUGACUCUGAAAAUGAGCCAUGAACCCAGAGGGUAGAGCCAAGAGCCAGGUCCUGAACCUGCUUGGGUUUUGCUGGAUUUACAACCUGCUUAGGGCUAGCCCCUUCCUUUUCCUUCAAUGCCUGUUUGAGAGAGUGUGGGUGUGGCUGUGGCUGGUUUAUUAUGCAUUACUUAGUCACUUCCUCUAAAUUAAAACCUUCCCUCUUAGAGGCACCCGAGGAAUUCACCUAACUUACCAGGCUUACGAAGUCACAAAGUCACAAGAGCGGAAGUUCCUCCUUGAUCUCAGAUAAGUACAAUGAUUGCCAAGGAAAGGAGAUUUUUAUUUUCAGUGUACCCAGCUGCCUGAGUUGUGCUGCAACCCCAGGGAUGAAGCUUCCCUGAGUGGUUACCCAUGUCUGGGUGAGCUUUCAGUGAUGCAGCCGCCCGUGAGUCAUCCCAGGAAAUUUACUGGUCACUAAACUGGACAUGUGUGGAAGGGUUUCUGGGAUCUGUCAUUGGUGCCCUGUUUGGGGUGAGUGGGUGUCUGUUCACACCUCCACAGAAAAGCCACAGGACGUGCUGUCAUCUAGGGGCAGCUGAGACCACUCACUGACUUCUUUCCCCCGUGUACAGAUGACAAGAAUCUUUACCUCCAGUUAGAAUCUGCCUGAGUCUUACUCCCAUCUGAAUGGGAUGAGAUGAUGCCAUUUGAGAGUUGACUGAUGAGACCAAGGGCUUUUCCUGGUUGGCACCACUGCUAGGAGGCAUUGUGUGCAGGAGCCAGCGGUGCUGCUUCUGUCUCGAAUAUACAGGGCGUGUGGUACACAGGGUAAGUGAUUAUCAGUGUAGAAUGUCAACAAUGCUGUAGUCUUUGGUUAUCACAUGUGAUAGAAUUGAUUGUCAACUUGACAGGAUUCGGUGUUACCUAGGAGACAGGCCUCUGAGAGUGCCUGGGAGGGAUUAUCUAAAUUAGAUCCCUAAUUUAAUUGGGGUAGGAAGACCGAUCCUAAAUGUUGGCAGCACUGUCCCAUGAACUGGGGCUCCCUGCUGAGUGAAAAAGAGAACCAGCUGAGGACCACACCUGUCUCUCUGCCUUCUGACUGGGAUACAGUGUGACAGAGGCUCUUGCCUCAGUUUCCCACAGUGAUAGGCUGACCCCUCACACCUUGGACAAAAUAAUCCUUCUUCUGAAAGUUGCUUUUGUUUGGGCAUUUUCUCAGAGCAACAGGAAAAGUAGCUUAAGUGUCACACAGGGUGGAAAACAGGGGUGAGAAGGGCUGGAAUGCAUUGUGUUGGGCACAGAGUCAAACAAUGCUUCUCCCCACCCAAUCCUUACCAGGUAGGUCUCGAGACUCCUAGGAAAAGCGCCAGGGUUGCCAGCCCAUUUGGUGGGGACAUAAUGAUGGAACAUUUUGCUGCGAGAGCAGGCUGGCCUCUGGUUUGCUCAGGCACAGAGAUGAUCAAUCCCACUUGGUAGGGGAGAUGAGGGUCAGGUGGACGUCCAUCCCAUGCCCCAGACACUCUUGCCAACACACAAGCUGUAUAUUCUCACGUGGAGAAUUUCUCCUGUUGUUGUUUUUGUUUUUCAGCUCUGAAGAGAUUGUGAAUUAAUGUAGACAUUCAUUCAAAUCCUAUUUUUGCUAAGGUCUGCCUCAUUAAAAUCCCCCCAGAGGACCACACACAAGGAUCUCUCAUCGUCCUCACUAAGUCCUGCUUGACGACAAAGAAACAGCUUCAGAGUGCGGCAAGAUGGCUGGUCAGGGGGGCACACAGUUUGCCGAGGACAGAGAUGGGCUUUAAAGCCAGGUCUUUUAACAUUAAGUUCAGGUUAAUUUCUACCCUGACUGGCACUAAGCCCCCGGUAAAUAAAGGCUCUUUUUGGAAAUAGGAGGUGUUUGUCAUCGGAGAAAAGGCUGCUGGCAGCCCAGGUGUGUUGUGCAAGGCUCGCCAGUGCACUAAUCCGCUAUACAGCAUGGUCCUAAGAAUAAGUAGGAAAGCCAGAAAGGUUCCGGGAAUGGGGCCUGGAGAAGGCGGCUGGAAGGCUGGGAAAUGUUAUGGAAUAGAAGUCACUUGAGCUCGGCUUAGUUGUAGGCAGAACAAAAGGUCAGUGCCUCAAAUCAAACAAUAGCUUUCGAGAGAGACUCGCUGAAAGCUACUGCUGGCUCCAAAUACUAAAGAAAAACAACAGGAACAGCAACAAAAACAAAAACAAAAACAAAAGCCAAGGGACCCAGAUCCAACACCAAGUAGUUCCAGGCAACAGUUUCAAUAGUUGAUAAGUAGUGUCACAACUGUCGUAGUUUUCCCCUCCUCCCAAAGGAGCACCUUUGACAUUUUACUAUAUUUCAAAUAAAAUGUAUCUUUUCCUAUGAUGCAUAGCUAUCUCAUUUAACAACAUUCUCCAAGGUGAAAUUAUAUUUUAUAAUGCAAGCUUCUAACUGGGGCAGGAGCUGUGUGGGAUGUUUGGGAAGGGGAGCUUAUGAGGAUCUUGAUAUCUCUUUUUGUAAGCCCACUGGUAACGGCUGCUCCGGGAGGUUUGACUACACUUACCCCACACCUCUGCCAGGACAGGUGCUGGGCUGUAGGAAAGCACAGAGGGGCUGCUCUGGGGUGGGAAAGCACAGUGUGAGAUGUGGAAGGGCCAGAGCUGGCUGGGGA